rnacentral:tRNA from 1 species
AGAAACUUAAGUUAUACACAAACUAGUGACCUUCAAAGCCACCAAAAAAGACCACUUUAGUUUCUG